rnacentral:rRNA from 1 species
GGAGGUUCCGGGCGNUAUCCGGANUUANNGAGNNUNAAGGGAGCGNAGGCCGUCUGGUAAGCGNGNNGUGAAANGUCGGGGCNCAACCUGGGCAUUGCAGCGCGAACUGUCAGAUUNGAGUGCGCGGGAAGUAGGCGGAAUUCGUCGUGNAGCGGUGAAANGCUUAGAUAUGACGAAGACUUCCGAUNGCGAAGGCAGCCUGCUGUAGCGCAACUGACGCUGAAGCUCGAAAGCGUGGGUAUUCGAACAGGAUNAGAUACCCUGGUAGUCCACGCGGUAAACGAUGGAUGCUCGCUGUUUUGCGUCUGACGUAAGCGGCCAAGCGAAAGCGUUAAGCAUCCCACCUGGGGAGUACGCCGGCAACGGUGAAACUCAAAG